rnacentral:rRNA from 1 species
GCAAGUCGAACGGCAGCGCGGAGAGCUUGCUCUCUGGCGGCGAGUGGCGGACGGGUGAGUAACGCGUAGGAAUCUGCCCAGUAGUGGGGGAUAACCAGAGGAAACUCUGGCUAAUACCGCAUAAGCCCCAAGGGGGAAAGCGGGGGAUCUUCGGACCUCGCGCUAUUGGAUGAGCCUGCGUCGGAUUAGCUUGUUGGUGGGGUAACGGCCUACCAAGGCGACGAUCUGUAGCUGGUCUGAGAGGACGAUC